AUUAUGGGUUUAAAGGGUGCGUAGGCGGGACAGUAAGUCAGUGGUGAAAGCNGCAGCUUAACUGCAGAAUUGCCAUUGAAACUGCUGUUCUUGAGUACAGUUGAAGUGGAUGGAAUGUGUUAUGUAGCGGUGAAAUGCAUAGAUAUGACACAGAACACCGAUAGCGAAGGCAGUUCACUAAACUGUAACUGACGCUGAGGCACGAAAGCGUGGGUAGCAAACAGGAUUAGAUACCCUGGUAGUCCACGCCGUAAACGAUGAUUACUCGAUGUGUGCGAUAAACAGUACGCGUCCAAGCGAAAGUGUUUAGUAAUCCACCUGGGAAGUACGUCCGCAAGGAUGAAACUCAAAGGAAUUGACGGGGGCCCGCACAAGCGGAGGAGCAUGUGGUUUAAUUCGAUGAUACGCGAGGAACCUUACCUGGGCUUAAAUGCAGAACGACGUACUGGGAAACCAGUAUUUCUUCGGACGGACUGCAAGGUGCUGCAUGGUUGUCGUCAGCUCGUGCCGUGAGGUGUCGGGUUAAGUCCCAUAACGAGCGCAACCCUUAUCUUUAGUUGCCAGCAUGUAAUGAUGGGGACUCUAAAGAAACUGCCUACGCAAGUAGUGAGGAAGGUGGGGAUGACGUCAAAUCAGCACGGCCCUUAUGUCCAGGGCUACACACGUGCUACAAUGGCUGGUACAGAGGGCAGCUACCUGGUAAUUGGAUGCUAAUCUCUAAAACCAGUCUCAGUUCGGAUUGAAGUCUGCAACUCGACUUCAUGAAGUUGGAUUCGCUAGUAAUCGCAUAUCAGCAACGAUGCGGUGAAUACGUUCCCGGGCCUUGUACACACCGCCCGUCAAGCCAUGGAAGUUGGGGGUACCUGAAGUCGAUAACCGUAAGGAGUCGCCUAGGGUAAAACCAAUGACUGGGGCUAAGUCGUAACAAGGUAGCCAAG
rnacentral:rRNA from 1 species